rnacentral:sRNA from 1 species
GCCAGCCCUAGGGUAGCUCCCGAAAAGCCGAUUCCCUUCAUCGGCCUGGGCUGGCGAUCUUCUGAAGGG